AAUGGUCUCAAUCGUGGCGCCGCUGAUCGCCAUGUCACGCGCGGCAAGUUCAAGCAUGCGGUUGACCGCGGUGGCAUCCCAGGUCGGGCUUUCGCAUUCGAUCCACGGGCGCAGGCCCGUCAGCAUGGUCUCGGUAUCGAACGGCAAUGAGGCGGGAUCGAUCAAGGCGUGUCCUCUCGUUUUGCUUGUUUUACGGCAGGAACUGACGCCCCGCUCGCCCCGAUGGUUGCAGACUCA
rnacentral:misc_RNA from 1 species